rnacentral:lncRNA from 1 species
UAAUAGAAGGUGUGAUAUCUUGUGAGAGGCGCCAGAAUCACUUGGAGAAUGGCAGCUCUGGGAUUGAACGAGGAGGUGAUAAGUUCCUGGGAAUAUUAAAGAUUAACACCAAAUCUUUCCCUCCCUUCUGUUUAUUCCUUCUCUUCUCUGUUCUGGGGAUUCAGAAGCUGUGGAUGUCAGAUGCCAACUCCUUAAGGGCUGAAAUGGUUUUAUA